GACGGAGAACUGAUAAGGGC
rnacentral:miRNA from 4 species